CAUCAGUCGCCACGGGAAUACAGAGGGUGCGAGCGUUAAUCGGAUUUACUGGGCGUAAAGCGUGCGUAGGCGGCUUCUUAAGUCGGAUGUGAAAUCCCUGAGCUUAACUUAGGAAUUGCAUUCGAUACUGGGAAGCUAGAGUAUGGGAGAGGAUGGUAGAAUUCCAGGUGUAGCGGUGAAAUGCGUAGAGAUCUGGAGGAAUACCGAUGGCGAAGGCAGCCAUCUGGCCUAAUACUGACGCUGAGGUACGAAAGCAUGGGGAGCAAACAGGAUUAGAUACCCGAGUAGUCCCUGUCUCUUAUAC
rnacentral:rRNA from 1 species